GACGAACGCUGGCGGCGUGCUUAACACAUGCAAGUCGAACGGAAAGGCCUGCCUUCCCUUGUGGAUUGCGGGUACUCGAGUGGCGAACGGGUGAGUAACACGUGAGUGAUCUGCCCCCAACUUGGGUAUAAGCCUGGGAAACUGGGUCUAAUUCCCGAUAGGACUGCAGGGUGGUGCCUGUGGUGGAAAACGAUUUUCUAGUGGUUGGGGAUGAGCUCGCGGCCUAUCAGCUUGUUGGUGGGGUAAUGGCCUACCAAGGCGGCGACGGGUAGCCGGCCUGAGAGGGUGGACGGCCACAUUGGGACUGAGAUACGGCCCAGACUCCUACGGGAGGCAGCAGUGGGGAAUAUAGCACAAUGGGCGGAAGCCUGAUGCAGCGACGCCGCGUGGGGGAUGACGGCCUUCGGGUUGUAAACUCCUUUCGACCGCGAGGAAGCCACCUGGUUGGAAGGGUGGUGACGGUAGUGGUAGAAGAAGCACCGGCUAACUACGU
rnacentral:rRNA from 1 species